AAAUUAAUGGCAAAGUCAAUGUUCUCCUUGAGUUGAUGCUUUUCAAAUUCGCCACCAGGCGUCGCCCACUUUGCGGUUCCUCGCCAAUACGCUGUUGCCUAAUUUCCGUAAGUUCCGUUCCGUCCAGUGAUGUGGUUCCGUCAGAACAGAAGUCAUCUAAUCUGUCAUUGUGUCAACGUCAACAAACAAGCUUUCACCAAAAAUUCGGCCCUUAAAAUUAUAUUUUUUGUUAACCUUCUUUUUAAUUUUUAUUCAUGAAGUUAAGUACAUAUCUUGGUCUUAAUAGUCUUGGAAUAUUUAAGUUCUUGGCUUGGGUGGUACGUGGUACUGAAAAUUCAAGAUGUGUUGUAGAAGGAGAACAAGUUUUAAACUGUGGUCAUCUUAUUUUGGCUGUAAAAAUGGAGAAAAGUUCUGAGCAUACGAUCAAAAUAUAUGGUUUAUGCCUUCAGUCAAGUCCAAUCCCCACGAAAUUAAAGGAACCCUAUAUUUAACAAAUGACGUGAGCAUUAGCCAAAUGUUUUAUUCAUGUAAAGCAGAAAAUAGUGGAAAAUGUAAACAUGACUCUGAUCUUGUUAAAUGUAUAAGGAAAGAUGUGAAAUUAAUGGAACAUUGAGUACAUGAAGAGAAAAAAAUGUUAACAGAUCCAUAAAAGGAAACGAUUUGUGAAUCGAUCUAAACGUGUAUAAGAACAAAGUAUACCUAUCAUUAAAAUAAUACCUGCCUGAAGUGACUUAGUGUACAAAUCAGUAAUAAUCAUAAUUUUAUUUUCAGUGCCAGUGAGAAAGUAGUAACAAUGUGCCUUAAAUGUUUAAGUGUUGUGGAAGAUUUCGUAUGAAUAAAAUAAAUCUGUAAAAAGUGGAUCUAAACUGAGAAUUAAUCUGAGAUUAACCUAAUCUGUAUAAUAAUCAUUGAAAUUCAUAUAUUGGUAUACAAAUAAUAAAUCUUUAUUUCAUAUUAUUUACAUUUACCUACAUUCAUUAGCCUGGAAUUUCAUUGCAUCUACAUCAAUGACCUCAGUCACAAACCUAUCCUAGUCAACGGUGAUACUGUCUUUAGCAGAUGUGGUAAUAUCUGAUUUGAUGACAUAUAUGCAUAAUUGAUUGCCUCUUAUAUCCAUACUGUCCUCCUAAGCCAAAAUGCUUUUAACUUAUUUUGCUGUAACUCAUUUUGCCAUAUUUGCGUAGAAGGUUGUGUAAUAGGGUAUUUAUACCAAUACGCAACAAAUUUACUAAGCAAAACAGACGUAUCUAGCAUGAAACCGCUUCAACAACACAAGAUAUGUCUGUUUCACUUAGUAAAUUUGAUGCGUAUCUGUAUAAACACCCUUCACAAAUAUGGCAAAAUAUUGAGUUACGUCAUUUUGGCCUAGGAGGGCAGCAUAGGUGUCGAGGUUUCUUCCUUUAUAUGCUACUCUGCAAAUUUACUCCACUUCUUUCUAUCUGCUGCUAAAACUUUUGCUUCUUGCCACAAUGUUCCUCUUUUCUUAAGUAUUUCGUUUACACUAGUGUUCCAGUUUUUCCGUAGUCUGCCCCUCAUGCUUUUACCCACUGCUUUGGUCUCCCAUGCCAUUUUCACUUGUCUGUCACCACUCAUUCUUGUCAUUUGUCCAGUCCAUUUUAACUUCUUUUCUUCAAAUUUUUCGUUGAGCAAUUUUACCUGUAGUUCAUGUCAUAUCUUCUUUUGUUUAAUCUUCUUGCUCUCACCACUUUUCUUGUCAUUUCUGUAGCUUGUAAUCUUUUUCUUUGUCUGUCAUUCAGUACCCAGUUUUCUGCUCCAUAUAUUGUAAUUGGCAUAUACAGCGUGUCCAAUUAAGUCAGCAUCAUAUGGGAAACUUUUUUAUUUUUAGUUUUAUGAAAAAAAGUUAUUCUUUAUAAAAAGUUGUGCAUUGUCUAAAACUUAAAAUACAACCAUCAGUUAUCAAUUUUUUAAAGCUGUAUACGAGGUAUGUCAAAAAAUAUGAAUUUUACUCAAGAGUAAAGUAGCUUUAUUUUUCACAAUAUUGAAAAUUGUUAUAAUGAAAAGUUGUUUGGAAUUAAGAACUAUAUUUUAAUAUGCAAUUUCAUCCUUCUAAUUGAAAAAAAAAAUUAUUUGUUUUUUAAUUAUGGAUAACCAACAUUAUUUUCAGUUAUUUCAAUUAUUAUUAUUAAUUUUACGAAAAAAGUUAUUCUGUAUAAAAUGUUCUGCAUGGUCUAAAACCUAAAAUACAACCAUGUUAUAUCAAAUGUAAAUUUUAUACGAGGUAUAUAAAAAAAUAUGAAUUCGCUUAAGAGUAUUUAAAUAAAAUGCCGUUAUUUUUUACAAUAUUUAAAAUUGUGAUUAUGUAAAGUUGUAUAGAACUAAAAAUCAUGUUCCAAUAUGUAAUUACAUCCUUCUUAUUAAAAUAUUAUGAACUAUAAAGGUACUUUAUUCUGAAUCGAAAUUCAUCUUAUUUGACAUACCUCGUAUAAAAUUGAUCAAAUUUGAUAUUAGACGGUUGUAUUCAAGGCUUUUGACUAUGCAGAACUUUUUACAAGGUAUACAUUUUUUUCGUAAAAUUAAUAAUAAAAGAGUUGUCAUAAUUUAAAUAACUGAAAAUAAUGUUGGUUAUCCAUAAAAAAAAUUCAAUUUUUUUUUUCAAUUAAAGGAUGAAAUUGCAUAUUAAAAUAUAGUUCUUAAUUCCAAACAAAUUUUCAUUUCAACAAUUUUCAAUAUUGUGAAAAAUAAAGCUACUUUACUCUUGAGUAAAAUUCAUGUUUUUUGACAUACCUUGUAUACGGCUUAAAAAAAUUGAUAACUGAGGGUUGUAUUUUAAGUUUUAGACCAUGCACAACUUUUUAUAAAGAAUAACUUUUUUUCAUAAAACUAAGAAUAAAAAAGUUUCCCAUAUGAUGCCGACUUAAUUGGACACGCUGUAUAUGGUUUUAUAGACUGUCAUUUUGGUUUUACUAGAUAUUUCUUUUUUGUUUAGGAAAUUUUUAUACAGUGAAUAAUAAAUUAUAUGGUUUGAUACAUUACUGCCAAGUAAAUUUUGUGAAAAGUAACUUUUCACAAAGUACACAGACUUUCAUGACUGUUUUGCAAACAGUGAUUGCUCGCAAAUAUUCAUUAAACUUUCUUCUCAAAAUGUGUUAUUUGAAGGGCUUAAUGUAAAACAAUGACAAACCUCAAAAAGGUAAAAGUGAGAUAUUUGACUUUGUAUGUUAAAAAUAUUAUUAAAAAAUCAAGUAACACCUUUUAUUGUUUUAGUUUAGAUAUUUCGAUGCAUUAUGCCCUAUGAGGCUAUAGUUAACAACAAUAUUAAUAAAAUUACUUGAAACGCGAGAAAAAACAGCCUUUAUUUAAAAAAAAAUGAGGCUUGUUACAUUAUUCCAUUAAUAAUAAAUACCCAAUAAUGUGACAAGCCACAUUUAGGAAAAAAUGACAUAUCGCUGUAUUUUCAUUACUUGAGUCACUUCUAGAUUGUACAUAGUCAGGGUUAUGGUAAUGUCAGAGAAUGUCAAGUCAACUUUACUAUUUUUUUUACUAGAAUCGUCAGAACUCAAUAAUUAUCCGAAUCUCUUCCGCCUAUGUUCGCCAUUUUGAUUUGGCUUGUCAUUAUAUCGAGUAGAUACUAGAGACAAACUAGGCCUAUGCAAUAGUAUGACCACAGAUUUAUCGAGCCAUCUAUUAACGAACGGCUGAGAUAAUUUGUUAGUGGCUUAUUCAUUUAGCCCAUUCAUCAAAUGAAGCCAUUCAUUUGAUUUUUUUGUGCAUCUUAAAGCUAUUGUACUUUGUUUCAUAUUCUUCUAUAUCCUUGCAGUUUUCCAGAACCCACUUCUCUAAUUUUUCUCUUAAUCUGUCGGUACACUUCUUUGUAUUUUGUCUUGCUAGUUUUAUAUCUUUGACUUUCCUCCACUAGGUACAAAAUUUCGUUUCUCACCCAUUCUUUUUUCUUAAUUAUGUCUUCAGAGCUAAGGAGCCUUCACCAGCUGUCAUAAGGGCCUUUUCUAUGUCCAUCCAUUUGUCCUCUACAUUGCAUGUGUUCCUAUUUUUUGCAGCGGAGUUUCUAAGAUUGUUGUUUACCUGUUCGUUUUUGUUCGAUUGUUUGUUUAACUGCAUUUUCUGUAAUUUCUUGAAUCUCAUGUUUACUACAGUCACCACCAGAAGUACAACAGGCCGGACACCUUCUAAAUUACUAUUUGGAAUGAACCAAGUAGGUAAUGUCAAAGGUCGAUCAGAUUAGCCAAGCGGACUGAGGCGCACGAUUGACAAAUCUAGUGGAUAUGCAGUCGAGAAGAUCGAGGUUCGUGCCCCAGCCGGUGAAUAGAAAAAUAAAAAGGCUGACGUCGUAGUCUAAAAUUCUAAAAAGAAUCUACGACUUGGUCUGGAAUAAGCUGGUGUCUGAUCGGCCUAUGGAGGAGCGGUACGGCAAGAGAUAAGGGCUUGCGGCUCGGUGACACUCCUCCAUAGAUCCCUACCGGAAGGGCGUUGACGCCUAAAAACGGUGUAUAUAGGUAAUGUCAAAGAUCAUUUUUCUGUUCGUCAUUAACACAUUCACGGACAUGACUGCAUAUGAAGUCAUUUACUCCAUAAGAAGACAUAUGUAUAGAUGUGAAGUAUGUCCGUGAAUGUGUUAACAAAAAUAAAUCUGAUAUUAAUGAACUACGACACAAUGCACUUGACAAAUUAGAGAAAUUCCAAGAAACCAAUAGCUCUACUACGAUUCAAGACAUAAACAAGCUUCAAUUUAUGAUAUUGGUGAUAUGUUAUGACACCUAAUAUUGAUGUUACAUCUGGUGUAAAUAAGAAACUAUUACCUAAAUUUAAGAGAUCUUACGUUAUUAAGAAAAUAUUACCAAAUGACAUAUCUAAUUUCUGAUGUUGAGCAGUUUCCGGUGACUCAGAAACCAUUCAAAGAUUUAUUUGAUGCUGAUCAUCUCAGAUUAUGGGUGAAAUCAUCACACUAAACUAAGUCUUCCACUACGAUUUAAUAGUUCAAUGUGGGUUUUAUCCAUUUACAUUGUCUUUAAGUAUUUUAACCUAUUAUAUUAGGAUUCUUAUUUUAUUCACAUUUUUGUUCACACUAAAUGACUUACUUUAUGUUAAGCAACUACAACUUAUAUUUGUGCAAAACAAUAUCUAUUACCCAUUAUGUCUGCAAUUAAGAACUUAUACUUAUGAUGAAUUACUCAUGAAAGGUGAUAACUUAUGUUUAUUAGAAAUAAUGUAUGACAAAUGUUUAAGAAAUGUUAUGAGUUUUAUCAUGUUUAUUACAUUCAAAUAGUUGUAUUUUUUAUUAUGGAAGAGCGAGGGCGCUCUUAUUGUUACCGCCUUUUUUGAAUUUGAAUUUGACGCUCUGUCAAAGUGUAAUGACAGCUGACAGAAGAUAGACAUGAACUAGGAAUAAAGUUAUGUGAAGGAAA
rnacentral:lncRNA from 1 species